AGCGUACACGGUGGAUGCCCUGGCAGUCAGAGGCGAUGAAGGACGUGCUAAUCUGCGAUAAGCGUCGGUAAGGUGAUAUGAACCGUUAUAACCGGCGAUUUCCGAAUGGGGAAACCCAGUGUGUUUCGACACACUAUCAUUAACUGAAUCCAUAGGUUAAUGAGGCGAACCGGGGGAACUGAAACAUCUAAGUACCCCGAGGAAAAGAAAUCAACCGAGAUUCCCCCAGUAGCGGCGAGCGAACGGGGAGCAGCCCAGAGCCUGAAUCAGUGUGUGUGUUAGUGGAAGCGUCUGGAAAGGCGCGCGAUACAGGGUGACAGCCCCGUACACAAAAAUGCACAUAUUGUGAGCUCGAUGAGUAGGGCGGGACACGUGGUAUCCUGUCUGAAUAUGGGGGGACCAUCCUCCAAGGCUAAAUACUCCUGACUGACCGAUAGUGAACCAGUACCGUGAGGGAAAGGCGAAAAGAACCCCGGCGAGGGGAGUGAAAAAGAACCUGAAACCGUGUACGUACAAGCAGUGGGAGCACGCUUAGGCGUGUGACUGCGUACCUUUUGUAUAAUGGGUCAGCGACUUAUAUUCUGUAGCAAGGUUAACCGAAUAGGGGAGCCGAAGGGAAACCGAGUCUUAACUGGGCGUUAAGUUGCAGGGUAUAGACCCGAAACCCGGUGAUCUAGCCAUGGGCAGGUUGAAGGUUGGGUAACACUAACUGGAGGACCGAACCGACUAAUGUUGAAAAAUUAGCGGAUGACUUGUGGCUGGGGGUGAAAGGCCAAUCAAACCGGGAGAUAGCUGGUUCUCCCCGAAAGCUAUUUAGGUAGCGCCUCGUGAAUUCAUCUCCGGGGGUAGAGCACUGUUUCGGCAAGGGGGUCAUCCCGACUUACCAACCCGAUGCAAACUGCGAAUACCGGAGAAUGUUAUCACGGGAGACACACGGCGGGUGCUAACGUCCGUCGUGAAGAGGGAAACAACCCAGACCGCCAGCUAAGGUCCCAAAGUCAUGGUUAAGUGGGAAACGAUGUGGGAAGGCCCAGACAGCCAGGAUGUUGGCUUAGAAGCAGCCAUCAUUUAAAGAAAGCGUAAUAGCUCACUGGUCGAGUCGGCCUGCGCGGAAGAUGUAACGGGGCUAAACCAUGCACCGAAGCUGCGGCAGCGACGCUGAUGCGUUGUUGGGUAGGGGAGCGUUCUGUAAGCCUGCGAAGGUGUGCUGUGAGGCAUGCUGGAGGUAUCAGAAGUGCGAAUGCUGACAUAAGUAACGAUAAAGCGGGUGAAAAGCCCGCUCGCCGGAAGACCAAGGGUUCCUGUCCAACGUUAAUCGGGGCAGGGUGAGUCGACCCCUAAGGCGAGGCCGAAAGGCGUAGUCGAUGGGAAACAGGUUAAUAUUCCUGUACUUGGUGUUACUGCGAAGGGGGGACGGAGAAGGCUAUGUUGGCCGGGCGACGGUUGUCCCGGUUUAAGCGUGUAGGCUGGUUUUCCAGGCAAAUCCGGAAAAUCAAGGCUGAGGCGUGAUGACGAGGCACUACGGUGCUGAAGCAACAAAUGCCCUGCUUCCAGGAAAAGCCUCUAAGCAUCAGGUAACAUCAAAUCGUACCCCAAACCGACACAGGUGGUCAGGUAGAGAAUACCAAGGCGCUUGAGAGAACUCGGGUGAAGGAACUAGGCAAAAUGGUGCCGUAACUUCGGGAGAAGGCACGCUGAUAUGUAGGUGAAGUCCCUUGCGGAUGGAGCUGAAAUCAGUCGAAGAUACCAGCUGGCUGCAACUGUUUAUUAAAAACACAGCACUGUGCAAACACGAAAGUGGACGUAUACGGUGUGACGCCUGCCCGGUGCCGGAAGGUUAAUUGAUGGGGUCAGCGCAAGCGAAGCUCUUGAUCGAAGCCCCGGUAAACGGCGGCCGUAACUAUAACGGUCCUAAGGUAGCGAAAUUCCUUGUCGGGUAAGUUCCGACCUGCACGAAUGGCGUAAUGAUGGCCAGGCUGUCUCCACCCGAGACUCAGUGAAAUUGAACUCGCUGUGAAGAUGCAGUGUACCCGCGGCAAGACGGAAAGACCCCGUGAACCUUUACUAUAGCUUGACACUGAACAUUGAGCCUUGAUGUGUAGGAUAGGUGGGAGGCUUUGAAGUGUGGACGCCAGUCUGCAUGGAGCCGACCUUGAAAUACCACCCUUUAAUGUUUGAUGUUCUAACGUUGACCCGUAAUCCGGGUUGCGGACAGUGUCUGGUGGGUAGUUUGACUGGGGCGGUCUCCUCCUAAAGAGUAACGGAGGAGCACGAAGGUUGGCUAAUCCUGGUCGGACAUCAGGAGGUUAGUGCAAUGGCAUAAGCCAGCUUGACUGCGAGCGUGACGGCGCGAGCAGGUGCGAAAGCAGGUCAUAGUGAUCCGGUGGUUCUGAAUGGAAGGGCCAUCGCUCAACGGAUAAAAGGUACUCCGGGGAUAACAGGCUGAUACCGCCCAAGAGUUCAUAUCGACGGCGGUGUUUGGCACCUCGAUGUCGGCUCAUCACAUCCUGGGGCUGAAGUAGGUCCCAAGGGUAUGGCUGUUCGCCAUUUAAAGUGGUACGCGAGCUGGGUUUAGAACGUCGUGAGACAGUUCGGUCCCUAUCUGCCGUGGGCGCUGGAGAACUGAGGGGGGCUGCUCCUAGUACGAGAGGACCGGAGUGGACGCAUCACUGGUGUUCGGGUUGUCAUGCCAAUGGCACUGCCCGGUAGCUAAAUGCGGAAGAGAUAAGUGCUGAAAGCAUCUAAGCACGAAACUUGCCCCGAGAUGAGUUCU
rnacentral:rRNA from 1 species